rfam:Methylobacterium extorquens AM1, complete genome.
CCUAUGGGGAAGGCGAUCUCCUCACGAGGCUAAGGCCAAAGCAUCGCGUCCCUACUGCACUGGUUGCAAGGACGCGCCAUG